CCUGCGCAGCCGGACCCAGCAAGACCUAGCUCAGCCCUGCCAGACCGCGCUUAAAAAUCACAGAAUCGAUUAGGUUGGAAAAGUCCUCUGAUAUCGUCGAGUCCAACCUAUGACCGAGCACCGGGUCAGUCAGACCGUGCCACGUCCCGUCUUCCCUUAAACACCUCUGGGGGCAGUGACUCCACCACCUCCCCAGGCAGACCAUUCCAACGUCUAAUGACCCUUUCUGUGAAGAAAUUCCUCCUAAUGUCCAACCUGAAACUCUCCUGGUGCACCAUAAGAGUGUGUCUUCUUAUCCUGUCACUGGUUGACCUGGAGAAGAGGCCAACCCCAACCUUGCCAGAUGCUCCUUUCAGGUCCUCUGUGAUCAGGCAAUCCUGGGAGAAGAAAUGUGUCUGUACCACCUAAGCACAUCACCUUGGCUUCCAGCUUUUGCAGGCCCCUCCACCGCAGCAUCCCUAUCCCACUGCAGGAACAGAAGUGGAAACUCGGAGAGAAAUCUGUGGACUGCUAGUAAUGAGAUGGAAGCAGGAGCUGAUGAAAGCUUUGAGGUCUUCUCCUCAGGGAGAAGCGGCAUGUCCUUCAGAGGCGGUACCAGAAUCUGCAGCUUUGUGGCACAAUAUUACAGAAAUGUUCCUGUCACUGCUAGAGGUUUGGCCAUAACACCAGAUAAUGUGUGAGAGUGCAAGCCUGCUGCCCUCCCUUUGGCAGAUUGUGGAUGCUCUUUUGGGUGGCAAUGCUGCCUUCCCCCCCACCCCCUUCCCACCCAUUCCUUUGCAAAGCACGGUUUGUCACCCCCUUGGCUGUGCUAAUGCAUCCCCCGCUGAGGAGUGACACUGCUGGAUCUGCUAAAUGGUCCCAGCUAAUAAUACUCCCCAAUACCUCUUUCUUUUGGAAAGUUAUUCAAGGAUCCAUCUUGCAGAAUGGCAUGAUGAACAUCUUGGCAAAUCUGAGCUGGCAGCUAAAGGAAGUGUCAGGGCAGGAGUAAGCAGUUGGGGGCAAGGAAAUGGCAGGAACGUCCUCAGCUGCUGUACAAUAAAAGACCAGAUGUAAUGAUUUGACACA